rnacentral:rRNA from 1 species
GGAAGGUGCGAGCGUUAAUCGGAAUUACUGGGCGUAAAGCGCGCGUAGGCGGCUAGAUAAGUCGGGUGUGAAAGCCCCGGGCUCAACCUGGGAACUGCAUUCGAUACUGUCUGGCUAGAGUGUGAUAGAGGGAGGCGGAAUUCCGCAUGUAGCGGUGAAAUGCGUAGAGAUGCGGAGGAACACCAAUGGCGAAGGCAGCCUCCUGGAUUAACACUGACGCUGAGGUGCGAAAGCGUGGGGAGCAAACAGGAUUAGAUAGCCUGGUAGUCCCACGCCGUAAACGAUGUCAACUAGCCCGUUGGGAGCAAUUUGGCUCUUGGUGGCGUAGCUAACGCGAUAAGUUGACCGCCUGGGGAGUACGGUCGCAAGAUUA